rnacentral:ncRNA from 1 species
GAAAGCUGUAUGAGGGAAAACCUCACGUACGGUUUGAUGAGGGGAGGCUGAAAGUAAAUGGGCGAUCUGUAAAGAUCACCCAUUGAAAUCAGCUUUCUACUUAUUC